rnacentral:rRNA from 1 species
AGAAUUGAUCUGGUCAGGAUGAACGCUAGCGAUAGGCUUAACACAUGCAAGUCGAGGGGCAGCACGGUGUAGCAAUACACUGGUGGCGACCGGCGUACGGGUGCGUAACACGUAUGCAACCUACCCGCUAUUGGGGGAUAACCCGGCGAAAGUCGGACUAAUACCCCAUAUUAUUCUUACCGGGCAUCCGGUAGGUCUGAAAGAUUUAUCGAUUGCGGAUGGGCAUGCGGAUGAUUAGCUAGUAGGUGGGGUAACGGCUCACCUAGGCGACGAUCAUUAGGGGUUCUGAGAGGAAGGUCCCCCCACACUGGAACUGAGACACGGUCCAGACUCCUACGGGAGGCAGCAGUGAGGAAUAUUGGUCAAUGGGCGCUAGCCUGAACCAGCCAAGUCGCGUGAAGGAUGACAAGAUCUAUGGUUUGUAAACUUCUUUUGCAGGGGAGUAAAGUGCGACACGUGUGUUGUAUUGCAAGUACCCUGCGAAUAAGCAUCGGCUAACUCCGUGCCAGCAGCCGC